rnacentral:rRNA from 1 species
AACGGUAACAGGAAGAAGCUUGCUUCUUUGCUGACGAGUGGCGGACGGGUGAGUAAUGUCUGGGAAACUGCCUGAUGGAGGGGGAUAACUACUGGAAACGGUAGCUAAUACCGCAUAACGUCGCAAGACCAAAGAGGGGGACCUUCGUGCCUCUUGCCAUCGGAUGUGCCCAGAUGGGAUUAGCUUGUUGGUGGGGUAACGGCUCACCAAGGCGACGAUCCCUAGCUGGUCUGAGAGGAUGACCAGCCACACUGGAACUGAGACACGGUCCAGACUCCUACGGGAGGCAGCAGUGGGGAAUAUUGCACAAUGGGCGCAAGCCUGAUGCAGCCAUGCCGCGUGUAUGAAGAAGGCCUUCGGGUUGUAAAGUACUUUCAGCGGGGAGGAAGGGAGUAAAGUUAAUACCUUUGCUCAUUGACGUUACCCGCAGAAGAAGCACCGGCUAACUCCGUGCCAGCAGCCGCGGUAAUACGGAGGGUGCAAGCGUUAAUCGGAAUUACUGGGCGUAAAGCGCACGCAGGCGGUUUGUUAAGUCAGAUGUGAAAUCCCCGGGCUCAACCUGGGAACUGCAUCUGAUACUGGCAAGCUUGAGUCUCGUAGAGGGGGGUAGAAUUCCAGGUGUAGCGGUGAAAUGCGUAGAGAUCUGGAGGAAUACCGGUGGCGAAGGCGGCCCCCUGGACGAAGACUGACGCUCAGGUGCGAAAGCGUGGGGAGCAAACAGGAUUAGAUACCCUGGUAGUCCACGCCGUAAACGAUGUCGACUUGGAGGUUGUGCCCUUGAGGCGUGGCUUCCGGAGCUAACGCGUUAAGUCGACCGCCUGGGGAGUACGGCCGCAAGGUUAAAACUCAAAUGAAUUGACGGGGGCCCGCACAAGCGGUGGAGCAUGUGGUUUAAUUCGAUGCAACGCGAAGAACCUUACCUGGUCUUGACAUCCACGGAAGUUUUCAGAGAUGAGAAUGUGCCUUCGGGAACCGUGAGACAGGUGCUGCAUGGCUGUCGUCAGCUCGUGUUGUGAAAUGUUGGGUUAAGUCCCGCAACGAGCGCAACCCUUAUCCUUUGUUGCCAGCGGUCCGGCCGGGAACUCAAAGGAGACUGCCAGUGAUAAACUGGAGGAAGGUGGGGAUGACGUCAAGUCAUCAUGGCCCUUACGACCAGGGCUACACACGUGCUACAAUGGCGCAUACAAAGAGAAGCGACCUCGCGAGAGCAAGCGGACCUCAUAAAGUGCGUCGUAGUCCGGAUUGGAGUCUGCAACUCGACUCCAUGAAGUCGGAAUCGCUAGUAAUCGUGGAUCAGAAUGCCACGGUGAAUACGUUCCCGGGCCUUGUACACACCGCCCGUCACACCAUGGGAGUGGGUUGCAAAAGAAGUAGGUAGCUUAACCUUCGGGAGGGCGCUUACCACUUUGUGAUUCAUGACUGGGGUGAAGUCGUAACAAGGUAACCGUAGGGGAACCUGCGGUUGGAUCACCUCCUUACCUUAAAGCAGC